AAUUAAUCAUUUUCCUAUUCAAUGUCUGUGAAGUUUUGACAAUAAUCCACAGGUACUAAUUAAUCAUUUUCCUAUUCAAUGUCUGUGAAGUUUUGACAAUAAUCCACAGGUACUAAUUAAUCAUUUUCCUAUUCAAUGUCUGUGAAGUUUUGACAAUAAUCCACAGGUACUAAUUAAUCAUUUUCCUAUUCAAUGUCUGUGAAGUUUUGACAAUAAUCCACAGGUACUAAUUAAUCAUUUUCCUAUUCAAUGUCUGUGAAGUUUUGACAAUAAUCCACAGGUACUAAUUAAUCAUUUUCCUAUUCAAUGUCUGUGAAGUUUUGACCAUAAUCCA